rnacentral:lncRNA from 1 species
GUUCGUUUCCCGUCGAAACGACGGCCCCGCGGGCUUCGCGGGAAACCCGGCCGGAAGUGCCAUCCGCCGAGUCACGGAAGUCAUAAACACCGUACACACGUACGCGUACGGCGGCCGUAUGUGUGUUGCGGUGAUACGCGCCUAAUACCGAAACGGGAUUUCCCGCGCAUUACGCCCCCGUCGUCGUUUUAUUUCCCGUUUCCCUCCCCACCCCGCCCCUCACCCUCGUCGUAGCGUCGUUGUUAUUAUUGCACCGCCAGACAAAUCGUCGGGCGGUUUUGCGUACCGUUUUUUAUUUAUUUUUUUUUUUUUUUUUACUAUACAUUAUGAUUACGGCGACGAACGAUAAUGUACUGCGCUCGCGCCCCUCUAUAUUAAACCGGACUCGACAGUUAAGCGAGUAAAUAACUGCGUUGCUGUCUUUGGAAUUCGGUACAAGGUUUUAUUUUUUUUUUUUUUAUGUAUAUAAAGUUACGCAUGUGCGAAACGCGAGUUAUUAGGUUUACCGAUCGAUGAUGUUUUUUUUUUUUUUUUCGUUUUUUUACACCCCUUUAAUAUUCUACAAUGUUACCGUCACGCGAUUUGGGCAACGGUGCGAUCGACUAGUCGGAAUCAACUCGCCCGGUCAAGUAUCGCCGGUCAAUAUCUACGACGGACAUUCUUGAAAAUCGAAGUUCUGUCUGCGCGUCAGAUCUGUCCGUCGCGCAAAUCUAUACGGUUUUUUUCCGACGUUGACGAAAUUUCAAUGCGACAUCUGAAUCGAGAUUGAUGAUGUGCAAACCGUCUACGUUUCGAAGUGACCUAUGAUCUUAAGGACUGAUUUUUAAACACUCGAUUUUCGAUAUUUCAACGUGAACAAUUUACGUUUUUCUGGUCGAUUUCUUGGUUUUCCGGAUGACACGGAUGAAAUUAUUUUAAACCAGUUAUUAUUAUUUUAUUUGGCUGUCUCGGACAAGGAAGUAUCCCUGCCACCCUCUCGUCAACCCGCAAAAAUAACUCGUAUGCACCGACUUUCCAACUUGCCAACUACCCGAAAACUCGGUCGACUAACAUUGAAAUUGAUUUGAAAAAAUCUGAUAAUGAUUUUGUAGUUUUAAUCGUGAAGUAUUUAUACGGUCCGUACGAUCAAAUGACUCGUCCAGUACCUAUAGCUAUAAGCGGCCUUGCGUUCUUUUGCAUAAUAUAACAAUAAUCCAUAUGAUUAGAUCUGAUUAUCUGAAGACAAUCAAAUUAACACAGGACGUAUUUUUCUUCCACAUCUGCUAUAUAGCGCGUCUUGCGCUCGGCAAUACGGCGAAAACUGACUUUUUAAUAAAAAGAGCUUUCUUACGAAGCCCCGAUGUUUAAACAUUCAUUAUUUUCCCAUUGCGUGCGUAGCGCGGCGCUUAAACAAACGACUCAUAUAUUAUACGUUUUCCGGGAUCGAUUAAUAUUCGAUUAAGAGCGCUCGCGAAAAUAGGCGUUUUUUUUUCAGCACUACCGAUAAAUUAUAAUAUUGUUGUUCGCCGGUCGGAAACAUACUACGCAAACGAAACGUCUAAAUCUAUAUACGUACCUAGAUACACUACAGAUUUUUUUGUUUUUUUUUUCUCCUCGCGAAAUAGUUGAAAUGAAAAUUCUCGCACUUGCUCCGACCGCCGCCGCCGCGGCGGUGUGUUAGCGUUGUAGUGGAGGGGCGGGGAAAGGUAGUGCGGGUUGACGGGGGGGCUCGAUUAUAAUAUAUAUUGUGCCCCGCGCGACAGGAACCUAUAGUGAACCUAUAUUGCAUAACGUCGUUUCAACCUUUUGCGAGAGAAUGUACGUAUAUAAUAUAUAGGUAACAGAUGUCGAACCGAAUAAUAUAAUAUAUCGUACACGUAUGUG